rnacentral:rRNA from 1 species
UGCGUAGGUGGUUUCUUAAGUCAGGAGUGAAAGGCUACGGCUCAACCGUAGUAAGCUCUUGAAACUGGGAAACUUGAGUGCAGGAGAGGAAAGUGGAAUUCCUAGUGUAGCGGUGAAAUGCGUAGAUAUUAGGAGGAACACCAGUGGCGAAGGCGGCUUACUGGACUGUAACUGACGUUGAGGCUCGAAAGCGUGGGGAGCAAACA